AAGAAAUAAACAAAAAAGAAACAGAGUGAGACCCUGUCUCAAAAAAAAAAAAAAAAAAAAAAAAAAAAACCGGCCGGGUGGCUCAUGCCUAUAAUCCCAACAGUUUGGGAGGGGCUGGUCUCGAACUCCUAACCUCAGGUGAUCCACCCGCUUUGGCCUCCCAAAGUGCUGGGAUUACAGGCGUGAGCCAUGGCGUACUCCCAAGUAGCUGGGACUACAGGCGCCUGCCACCACGCCCGGCUAAUUUUUUGUAUUUUUUAGUAGAGACAGGAUUUCACCUUGUUAGCCAGGAUGGUCUCGAUCUCCUGACCUUAUGAUCCGCCCGCCUCGGCCUCCUGAAAUGCUGGGAUUACAGGUGUGAGCCACUGAGCCCGGCCUUUUUUUUUUUUUUUUUUUUGAGACAGAGUCUCGUUCUGUCACCCAGGCUGGAGUGCAGCAGCGUUAUCUCGACUCACUGCAACCUCUGCCUGUUGGGUUCAAGCGAUUCUCAUGCCUCAGCCUCCCGAGUAGCUGGGAUUACAGGCAGGCACCACUAUACCGAGCUAAUUUUUGUAUUUUUAGUAGAGACUGGGUUUCACCAUGUUGAAACCCAGUUCAGGAUGGUCUUGAUCACCUGAGCUCGUGAUCCACCCACCUCAGCCUCCCAAAGUGCUGGGAUUAUAGGUGUGAGCCACUCCGCCCGGCCACAAAGCUUCAGUUUUGAUGCACAUUUGGAAUUAUGGGGCAAGAGAGAAACCCAGGGCCCACCCAGGGUGAAAAAGCUGUUAGGUGACCCCCACAUAAAGCCA
rnacentral:lncRNA from 10 species